GAGGAGGAGGAUGGAGGAGGAGGAGGAGAGGUGGCGGCGGGAGCCCUUCCCGAGCCUCGCGGAGCCUCUCCCGACGAUUCCUCCUCCAAACCUGCCUCCAACCUUUCAAAGGCUGUAAACAUUCCAGCAACCCUGCUGAUGGAGCAAAGAGAACCCCUGCCCAGCUCGGGAUGCUGCCACACCCUGAGCCCCCUCAAGGAGCCCCAGUGCCAAGUGACAGCAGCAGACAUGGAUUUGCUUUCCAGCAGUUCAGUGAGGAUUCCCUAUUCCCUUUCCAUAGAGUCUCACAGCAAGUCUCAAUGCCAUAAUGGAGGAAUGUUGAGGUUCUCCAGAGCCAAGCCUGGAGAAAUCCCCCAAGAGGUCCACAGCAGGAGUGAAAAACCUUUAAAUCCCACCAAAAUCCUGAGGAAAACUGGGACAAUGCCUCAAGUGAUACGAUGCUUUUGAGGUCAAGCCUACCAGUCAUGAUUUAUCCUCCAGAAAAGCAUCAAUUUUGGGGAUAGCAUCCCCUAGCAACCACUGGCAUUGUGUUACAGAAGGACAAGGAUGUCCAUCCUCAACCCCUGCCCUUACCUUGCCCUGUCUCCAGUCUCAGAGCUGACCAUGCAGUGAUUCCAAACACAUCAUCCAAGGAAAAGGAUUUCAACCCCAUACAUUUUGGACAGGCUCAAAAACUUCCUUGUGGCCUCUCUCUGUCUCCUGUCGUGUUUGCUGCUUGGAUUUCUUUACUUCUCAUAUCAUGUUUAGACUUGCUAAAUAUAAAAAGUCUUCAAAAUAACUGUGCAAAAUAUUCUCCAAGUCCUUGAGGGGGGAAAAAAAAAUACAUUGCUCAGCUCUGCCUUCUCGUGUUUUAUGGGUUUAGUACAUGAUGUAAAUAGAUUAUUUCCAUAAUAAAUACUUGAUAAAAAUAAUUUCCACGUGAAGUUCUAAGUCAACAAGUCCCAGAAAGGCAGAAGAGGAGCUCCCAGGUUGGCAGCAACAUCCUGUGCAUUCCUGAAAAAGUUUCCCAAACUUCAUAGAAUCGUGGAGCAGUUUGGGUUGGAGGGGACCUUUAAUGGUCAUCUAGUCCAACCCCAGACUUCUAAUUUAUUGGAAGGGAGCAGGUUGGGUGGGGAAGGCAAGCCUGGUCUCCACAUCCCCCCUCUGCCUUCCCACCUCCUCCAUGGGGACACCUCAGUGGGAAGGAGCCCAAGGGCUGCAGAUGUGUUUGCUGACAAUCCCAUUAGUCUGGGGCCUGACAUUCCAUGGAAUCCCGGGAUUGUUUAGGUUGGAAAAGACCUUUAAGAUCAGGGAGUCCGACCUCUAAUGUAGGGAUUUACCUGCUGCCUUUGGUCAUCCUUCAGCAGAGGCCCCAUGGGGCUGGUGGCACCUGCAGAAGGUGCCUCUCCUGGUCUCUGAGGACACCCGGCACAGGACCCCCCUGCAGAGCUGCUCCAGCCCUGGGGAACAGCCCUGGAAGGACAUGGAGCUGCUGGAGAGAGUCCAGAGGAGGCACCAAGAGGAUCAGAGGGAUGGAACAGCUCUGC